AUUGAACGCUGGCGGCAUGCCUAACACAUGCAAGUCGAACGGGGUAGCAAUACCCAGUGGCGGACGGGUGAGGAAUACAUAGGAAUUUGCCUUUAGGUGGGGGAUAGCCCGGGGAAACUCGGAGUAAUACCGCAUGAUGUCGAAAGACCAAAGUAGGGGAUCGCAAGACCUUGCGCCUUUAGAGAAGCCUAUGUCUGAUUAGCUAGUUGGUAGGGUAAUGGCCUACCAAGGCGACGANCAGUAACUGGUCUGAGAGGACGACCAGCCACACUGGGACUGAGACACGGCCCAGACUCCUACGGGAGGCAGCAGUGGGGAAUAUUGGACAAUGGGCGCAAGCCUGAUCCAGCGAUGCCGCGUGUGU
rnacentral:rRNA from 1 species